AACAUCAAUUUUAAAGAAAUUUUAGUUUGUUUAAUUUUAUUUUUAAUCUCUCUAAUCUUUUUAGGGUAUAAAUGUUAAUCCUGAGAUUACUGCACUACAGACUAUGCUUGCUGAAUGCCAAGAAAAGCUUAAGGAACUGACUUUGAUAGAGAAAAGGUUAGACUGUUUGGAACAAAAAAUGAAAGGAAAUGUGAUGGUAGAUGAAAACACCUGGACUAAUCUGCUUAGUCGUGUCACUCUUCUUGAAACGGAAAUGCUUUUGUCUAAAAAGAAUGACGAAUAUGUAGAGUUUAAUGAAAUUAAUGAAGACUACGCUUCUUGUAGCAACAUGGACCUUCUGAAUCCUCACAGAAAAAACAAAGUAGAGAGGCCAGCAAGUAUUCCUCUGUCCUCUGGCUAUAGUACAGCAUCAUCAGAUUCGACUCCCAGAGCCUCUACCAUUAAUUACUGUGGUUUGAAUGAGAUUUCAGAGAAUUUUCCUGCAUGGAGUGCUCCAUCCUUUUGUUCUAGUCUCAGCUGGCUGCUCCAUGGGCAUACUUCAUACCUUUCAUCACAGCACUUUGCUUGGCCUCUCUCCUGCAUGUAAUCUCUGUUUCUUGGAUCCUGUGCUUACCUUUUCCUGCUGUACUCUGAUGUUUCAGUGAAGCUCAUCCACGAAGUCCAGAAUUCUGCCUGGAACCAGCUUCCUCUUC
rnacentral:lncRNA from 1 species